rnacentral:rRNA from 1 species
UACGAAGGGGGCUAGCGUUGCUCGGAAUUACUGGGCGUAAAGCGCACGUAGGCGGUUUCUUAAGUCAGGGGUGAAAUCCUGGAGCUCAACUCCAGAACUGCCUUUGAUACUGAGGAUCUUGAGUACGGGAGAGGUGAGUGGAACUGCGAGUGUAGAGGUGAAAUUCGUAGAUAUUCGCAAGAACACCAGUGGCGAAGGCGGCUCACUGGCCCGUAACUGACGCUGAGGCACGAAAGCGUGGGGAGCAAACAGG